AAUCAUUAUUCACCUGUAACUUGAAUAUAUUUUGGCAAACAGUCAAAAAUACAAAACUUGUGUUUGUGUCCAAUUAUUUACCUAAGUGUACAUGCAUGUUGUGCCUCAGUUAGUACUAUGUGUUUGUAUUUCCUGUCAAGUAUUGUAACGUUAAUUACAACCUCAGAAGUGUGUGACUGUGUUGUUGGUGUACAGUUUUGUGAAGUUUAGUUUUUGGGAUUGUGAACUGUUAUUUCCCUCCAGUCCGCAGGGAUGGACCGAUCUCUGUUCCUCCUGCUGCUAUUCACAGGGCUCCCCUCAUGCCUCUCCGUCCAGAUUUACUUUAUAGCUGAACCAGGGACCUGGGGUUGAUGCUCAGAGUAACUGCAUACAGAACCACACUG
rnacentral:lncRNA from 1 species